rnacentral:rRNA from 1 species
UGGUGCCAGCAGCCGCGGUAAUUCCAGCUCCAAUAGCGUAUAUUAAAGUUGUUGCAGUUAAGAAGCUCGUAGUUGAAUUUCUGCCUUAUCAUUAAUUUCGCUUCCGAACGUAAUUUUAUUGAUUUGGCAUCUUCUGGAUUAUAUAUUAUUUUUAAUAUAUUUUUCCAGUAUUUUACUUUGAGAAAACUAGAGUGUUUCAAACAGGCUUUUGCCUUGAAUACUACAGCAUGGAAUAAUGAAGUAGGACUAUUGGUUCUAUUUUGUUGGUUAUCGAACCAUAGUAAUGGUUAAUAGGAGCAGUUGGGGGCAUUCGUAUUUAACUGUCAGAGGUGAAAUUCUUAGAUUUGUUAAAGACGAACUACUGCGAAAGCAUUUGCCAAGGAUGUUUUCAUUAAUCAAGAACGAAAGUUAGGGGAUCGAAGACGAUCAGAUACCGUCGUAGUCCUAAC